UUUAUAAAAUUUUUAUAAAAUAAAAAUAAUAUAUUGUUUUUAAAAACAAUACAAAUUCUUUCAUUCAAACGAACUUCUUGUUUUUUGUAUUAAAACAUCAUGUCAAACACUCUAGUUUUUUAAAAAUUCUAAAAAACUAUUUUUAAAAACACCAAGAACAAGCCCUAUAUUUUUGCAAUUAUUCUGGUGCUUGGAUGAGAUAAGGAUGAAUACGUGUGUAAUGGCCAAGGCAUGCAUAGAAGGGCAUUUCUUUCAUGCUGCAAUUUUGAUCUCCAUGCAUGGGAUCCAAAAGACUCCAGAAGGUUAGAGGCACGUGCAUUCUGGAUGGCUAUCACACAUGCGCUCCGGGUGAGAUGGAGACAUGCAUUUGGCAUGACAAUGAGACUUUUGAGAAGGAUCCAUUUUCUUCCGGGACAUGACAUCAUGAUGGUUUCGAGAAGAGUCUCAUGUGAGGGAGCAUCACCAUAGUACAUGCAAGGAAGUUAUUGCCAAUCACAUUUUUGAACUGCCAGGCAUUUAGGAGGCCGUUUUUGGGGAAGUCUCUGGAAGAGGAAUCUUUUUGUUGAGGGAUGCACACCACACCGGGAAUGGCGUAACAGCUGUAGUUCCAGAGACUUUUGAGGUUGAAAAAAUAGAGACUUCAUUACCGACGAAGAAGCUCUUUUUGGCAUUCUUGGAAAUGAGACUUCGUCGCCAACAUAGAGAUUUUGGGCAUUUUUUGGAGUAGGAGAGUUCAUCACCGACAUAGGGAGUCACUUUUUGGGUGUUUUAUGGAGGAGCGCAAAUUCUCAUUGAAAAAGGCAAGUUCAUAGCUGCCGGAGUAGUUCACUCUUGUGGUUCGUUUCAUCACUGCCGGAGUAGUUCGCCACCGUUGAAGCUCGUUGGUUCGUUUAUAGAGAGUCAUCACCGCCAUUAGAGUUCAUUAUCAUCAGAGAGCAAUAUUCCCCAUUGCAAUCCACCGAUAGUGAGAAAGGAUCAUCAGACACCCAUAUUUGGAGCUUCAGGAUCUUCAUAUUCGAGGAUAGAAUCGCCAUUUUCCUUUGGAUAUCCAUUUUUCUGAGGGAACAAGAGAUCACACCUGCAUUAUUCUUUUCUGGUUUCCGCGAACAUCACAGGAGAUUUUUCUACCAUUUCAAAUCAGUGCUCACCAUUCUUCACCCUCAUCUUGUCUGCAAGAGAUCGCCAUUCUUGUUAUCCUUUUUUCUUGCACUCUUUUUAACUUUUCUUUUUUUCGUUUGGUUGCCGAGAAAAUCUAUAUUUUCUUGUCCUUAAGUUUCUAGGAAACCACAAACUUGUAAGUAUAUUCUCGCCUUUCAAAUGGGUGUUUCCAAGAUUCCUGCUUUCUUUUUUUUUUCUUUUUCUUUCCCUUCCUUUGAUUUCUCAGCAACAAAAAAGAUCAUAUUUGGAAAUUGUUCCGCAACUAGGAUCGCUAACCCAGUAGGUCAUUAACGAAAACUGUUUAGUUAAGAGGAAGAAUUUUUGUCAUGAUUUCCCCGGAACCCUAAUUUCUGUUUGGUUGCGCAGAAAAAACAAGGAAAGACUCUAUUUAUUUCAGUUUCAAACAAUCGCCUAUCCUUGGAUUUGCUAUUUCAGCUUGGAGUGUUUCCGGAGAGAGAGCUAAGAGGGAGGAGAUUGGAGGUUUAUGGUGAUCAGGUCUGAUGAAACAACUGUUUUGACUAAUCAUUCCACUAUUUAGAUUUCUUGAUUAUCUGGUUUGCUUGUCUAACUGUUUCAACCUGUUGAUGAUGCUCGAUUCUUUGUUUCUCAACGUUACUCCGCUGGGCCAUGCACUUUGUUUCCUUUCCGAAUAUAAAAUUCUGAAUGGAAAUUUUGAGGAAAUUAGGGUUUCCCAUGAUGAGAUUGGAUCUAUAAUUGUUGGAACCCAUGGUCAAAUUCUUGAAUUGCUAUUUCGGGAUACCCUAAUUCCCUAUUUUUGGUAUAAAGAUAAAGAUUUCAGUUCAGUUUCAAGGCAAAGCUCUACAUUUAAUCUCUGUUUUGAUCUUCUUUAGCUAUGGAUGCCGACGAGCAUGGUAACAAACGGGUGUUUCAACGACUUGGAGCUUUGAAUGAUAGUGGAAAACAACAAAAGGUUUGUUACCAUUGGAGGGCAGGCAGGUGCAACAAGUUCCUCUGUCCGUACCUACCCAGAGAAUUACCAGGUCCUCCUCCCCAACAACACCAACCAUUCAUAAGCAAUGGAUCAUUGUCCAAAUGGCCAAAUCAAGGAGUACAUGACGAUCACAGCUUUUCUGGUGCAUGAAGAAGUCCUAAGUUUAAUCCUAUGUGGGGGCCGGUUCACGACGGUGGCGCAGGCAAUAGAGCUCAAGGUAGUGGUGCGGGCAAUAGAGUAUUUAAGAAGAUUGAGAAGCUUUGUAAUUAUUGGCUUCAAGGAAAUUGUAGUUAUGGGGAUAAGUGCAAGUUUUUGCAUUCUUGGAGUGUUGGUGAUUGUUUCUCUGAGUUUGACAUAGCUUGAAGUGCAUCAGAAAGUAAUAAAUUUGUUUGAAUUUUGGUUACAUUUGGAGUUCUUGUGCAUUUGAAUGGAUGGGCUGAUUUAUGUUUAUUGGAGUUCCGCAACUAGGAUCGCUAACCCAGUAGGUCAUUAAUGGAAGCUGUUUAGUUAAGAGGAAGAAUUUUUGUCACGAUUUCCCUGGAACCCUAAUUUCUGUUUGGUUGCCCAGAAAAAAAACAAGGAAAGACAGAAAUUGACUGCCUGAACUUUGGAUGUUGCUUUUGCUUCGUAGGGUAUUAGAUCAUUAGAAGAUACUAAAAAAUAAAGACUAAAAAACAAAAUGGUGGCUAUCAAGGUACAUAUUAGCUCUUAUUCUUAUCUAACUCCUUUUCUUUUCCUUUGUUUUGAAUUGUGAUCAAACUUUUCGUCUCCAUAAAUGUAGGGAAAAUUGAAUGCAGCUUCAAGUCAGGUUGCAGGAGAUCAAAAAAAUCUAAAGAGUGGUACAUUUUACAUUGUUUCUAUAAUGAGAAAUUUUAUAUUCUCAUGUAUUAAUUGGAUGCUUAAUUUAGUUUAUAAAAAUUAUUAGUUUGAUUGUUUUGUUGAUACAAUGCUUAGUCUAGUUUCUUUUAAAAAUCAUUAGUUUGGUUAAUCUUUUGAUCUCAUGUUUAGUUUACUUUUCAAAAAAUCAUUAGUUUGGUUGGUUUGUUGAUGUUGUGCUUGGUAUAAUUCUUUUAAGAACCAUUAGUUUGGUUACUCUAUUAAUCUCAUACAUAGUUUAGUUUUUAAACAUUAUUCGUUUUACUAAGUUUAGUUUCUUUUAAAAAUCAUUAGUUCGGUUAGUCCGUUGAUCUCAUAUUUAGUUUAAUUUUUAAAUAUUAUUAGUAUGGUAUAUUUAUUGUAACACCUAGUACUAAUGAAUUAAAUAGGCAAUAAUGAUUAUUUUAGUACUUAACUUUAAGCUUGCUUAAUUAGAUGUUAAAACUAGUUUAGUGCUAAUCAUAUUUAAUUAUGAAUUAAACUUUGAUUAUGGUUAAGUGGGAUUAGUUAAUGAUCUAAGCAUGCUUAUUAGGUUCUUAGGGACUAAUUAGGGUUAUGAAAACCUAAAGGACUAAUGGGCAAUUAUGGGUUUUAUUUUUUUAUAACUUGAAGGACUAAAGUGCAAAAUUGGGAAAUUUGAGUUAGUGGAAUGCCACCUCCUACUUGGGUGGAUUGGUGGCAGCCAUGUGGGCUGCCACCUCAUGCUUGGGUGCUUGGAGACCUCUUUAUAAGGGGGCUGCAGCUCGUUUUGCACCAUUUCACCUGCAGCAACUUGGGUUAGAGAGAGAAUCUAGAGAGAGAAAGUGUAGAUUUGAGUUCCUCGUAAUAGGCAAAGAUUGCCUACUUAGAAGAAACACAAAAAGGAAGUCGGUGUAAGGUAGGGAAUUUUAUGCUAUUCUAUGGUGUAUCUGAUUUCUUUCCUUGAAUUAUUUGUUGGAAUUUUAUGUUGUUUCUAUGAUUUCAUAAAAUCUUUUAAAGUGUCAUUGCAUCUCGGUUUAUUGCAUUGAAAUGUUACCAUGAUGUUGGAACGUAUAUUGGUAUGAAGAUUCGUGGUUUUGUGUUGUCGAAAUGGUUUAUGGUGUGAUUGCAUUGCAAGAAGGAUAUGGAAUUAUCACAGAUCAUAUUCAGAGAAUUUAUUGGUGGCGAAGUGCUUAUGUGAUGCUACAGGCCUUAUCAUUUGAUAUAUUGUUUAUGUGGGACCGUGGGUCCUUGGGUGAAAGUCCCUAAAGCCCUCGAGGAAGACACUCCGAUGUGGGUGUAUGGGGUUGGUCCUGCCCCUGGGUUUUAGUCCCUAAAGACACGGGGUUGGUCCUGCCCUUGGGUAUGAGUCCCAAAAGACACGGGGUAUGACUUGCCCUUGGGUGAUGUCCCAGAAUAGUCAUUAUUAUAUUGAUCGAGUAUCUUGUGGAGCAUUGAUAUCUGCUGUGUAGAUUGUUGGGAGUCAGCAAAUUAUCAGUUGUGAAAGGAUGGAUGGGGAAAAGCAAUGAUGAAACCAACAAACACAUGCAUACAUGUUUGACAUGAUUACACAUUUGUUAAUGGUUAUGAAAUGUUUAUCAUGCAUGUUAUUAAAUGUUUAAUUCAAGGUUUUUAAGGGUAUACUUAGGAUGGUUAUAAACUUUCCUACUGAGUUGUGAACUCACCCUAUUCCUUCCACCUAUAGAUGCAGGUCAGAAGACCUAUGCAGGAAAGAAUGCUUGAGCAAUGCUUUACUGUGAUUGGAUGCUGUUUGCUCAUAUUGAAAGUCUUUUGAGGCCAUGCCUUUUGUAUCAAGACUACACCUUUUGUUGGAAUGAUGUAAUGUAUAUAUUUGUUAGAUACACUUGUAGUAUGGGCUACCCAUAGUAAACAAUGGGGUUUGGUAUAUGUAAAUUAAUGUUGUACAAGUUUCUUUUGUGAAACAAAACAUAUUUUGUUAACUCAAUAGUCACAAUGUUUAUUA